rnacentral:rRNA from 1 species
UACGAAGGGGGCUAGCGUUGCUCGGAAUCACUGGGCGUAAAGGGUGCGUAGGCGGGUUUUUAAGUCAGAGGUGAAAUCCUGGAGCCCAACUCCAGAACUGCCUUUGAUACUGAAAGUCUUGAGUAUGGGAGAGGUGAGUGGAACUGCGAGUGUAGAGGUGAAAUUCGUAGAUAUUCGCAAGAACACCAGUGGCGAAGGCGGCUCACUGGCCCAUUACUGACGCUGAGGUGCGAAAGCGUGGGGAGCAAACAGG